GGAAGGAUCAUUGUCGUUGCCUCUCAAAAACACGACCGUUGCACACGUCACAGAACGCUGCCGGGGAGGUGCUUGCUGCCUCCUCGGCCCCACCGGCCUCGUCCCUCUCGCCUUUCGGGCGCGUUGGUCAGUGGCCGGAAUACGGCGCGGGAUGACGCCAAGGAACACGAUAAAAGCUAAGGCACCGGUGAGUCGCCCGAGGGCUUGCGUCGGGUGCCGAGGCCAAUGAUAAAAAUAUGACUCUCGGCAACGGAUAUCUCGGCUCUCGCAUCGAUGAAGAACGUAGCGAAAUGCGAUACGUGGUGUGAAUUGCAGAAUCCCGUGAACCAUCGAGUCUUUGAACGCAAGUUGCGCCCGAGGGACCCUCCCGAGGGCACGCCUGCCUCAUGGGCGUUAGAAGCCCAUCCACGCUCGGUUGCCUCGAGGCAAAGAUGCGGACAUUGGCCCUCCGAACCGCGAGGUGCGGUGGGCCUAAGUGUGCGGCCGUCGUAUGUGGCCGGGAGCGGCGAGUGGUGGGCUACUGCGCACGUCACCCCGAGCCCUGUACAGACACAAGGCCUUUCUGGACCCCUAACGAGGAGCUUGCCGUCGCGGCCUGCGCCGCGCGGCGCCUUCGGACCGAUACCCCAGGUCAGGCGGGGCUACCCGCUGAGUUUAAGCAUAUAAAUAAGCGGAGGAGAAGAAACUUACGAGGAUUCCCCUAGUAACGGCGAGCGAACCGGGAGCAGCCCAGCCUCAGAAUCGCGGUGGCACUGCCGCCCGAAUUGUAGUCUGGAGAAGCGACCUCAGCGACGGACCGGGCCCAAGUCCCCUGGAAAGGGGCGCCGGGGAGGGUGAGAGCCCCGUCCGGCCCGGACCCUGCCGCACCACGAGGCGCUGUCGGCGAGUCGGGUUGUUUGGGAAUGCAGCCCAAAUUGGGCGGUAAACUCCGUCCAAGGCUAAAUACUGGCGAGAGACCGAUAGCGAACAAGUACCGCGAGGGAAAGAUGAAAAGGACUUUGAAAAGAGAGUCAAAGAGUGCUUGAAAUUGCCGGGAGGGAAGCGGAUGGGGGCUGGCGAUGCGCCCCGGUCGGACUCGGUUGGUUCCGCUGUGGCGGACCACCGUGCCUGUCUUCUCGGGGCGUGGACCGAUGCCGGCUGUGCCGGCGGCCCAAGGCCGGGCUCGACCCGGAUUAUGCCGUCGGUGCGGCCGCUGACCCCGUGCGCGCUCGUUGCGUGCCCCCGUGGCACCGCGUCGCGGGCGCAUCGGCCUGCGAGCUCCCCAUCCGACCCGUCUUGAAACACGGACCAAGGAGUCUGACAUGCGUGCGAGUCGACGGGUGCUGAAACCCGGGAGGCGCAAGGAAGCUGACGAGCGGGUAAUCACCGCUGGCCGACCCUGAUCUUCUGUGAAGGGUUCGAGUUGGAGCAUGCCUGUCGGGACCCGAAAGAUGGUGAACUAUGCCUGAGCGAGGCGAAGCCAGAGGAAACUCUGGUGGAGGCCCGAAGCGAUACUGACGUGCAAAUCGUUCGUCUGACUUGGGUAUAGGGGCGAAAGACUAAUCGAACCAUCUAGUAGCUGGUUCCCUC
rnacentral:misc_RNA from 1 species